rnacentral:pre_miRNA from 1 species
AGGAGGAACAACCAAGGUGGCGGCGGCAGCUCUGGAGCCCUGGAGUCUGCUCCCGCAGUAACUCCGGAGCUCUCUGUCUGCAGGGCCUGGAGGCUCCGGGGCGGG